ensembl:lncRNA
UUUUUAUUUGAAGUAAUCAUACAAUCCAUUCAUUAUCUGAAAUAAAUUCCUGUGCUCUUUUGUCUUAAAAUGCUGUCACUGUUGCUUUCACAUCUCUCAAAGUCAUCUCAAGAUUAAAAUCUACACUGAAAUUAAAGAACUCUGUUUAGCUAUCUCUUGGACCACAUUACUGUCCUUACUUUAAUUAGGUAUCAUAUGUAUAUAGGACAUUUGCUGCAAGGGAGCUGGCAGUCCUCAUCAAACUCCAGGAAGUAAAUAGGAGCUACUUUUCAUCUCAGUGCUCGAAUUCAUACGUGGAGGCAUCCAGCAGUUCAUAAUGAGCCCAAGGUCACCCGGUACAUGAAAAGCAGUCCUGAAAAUCAAAGCCAGGAUUUUGCAGCCUGAAACUUCUCCCUGAGAAUGGAAAUCUCUUCACAGAAUGUUCAGUCUCAUAGUUCUGAACCCUAAGAGAUAAUUUAGUUCAACAUCUUCGCUUUGCAAAUAUGGAAACAAAGAAAUGGGGUAUCACUACGUUCCACAGACUUGUCUUAAACCCUUGGCCUCAAAUGAUCUCACUUCAGCCUCUCAAAGUGCUGGGAUUACAGCCACGAGCCCCUCCACCUGGCCUAAACACGU